rnacentral:rRNA from 1 species
GACGAACCGAGCGAACGUUAUUCGGAAUCACUGGGCUUAAAGGGCGCGUAGGCGGGCCGGAUAGUCAGGGGUGAAAUCCUCCAGCUUAACUGGAGAACGGCCGUGGAUACUGGCGACCUCGAGGGGGGUAGGGGCUUGCGGAACUGUGCGUGGAGCGGUGAAAUGCGUUGAUAUGCACAGGAACUCCGGUGGCGAAGGCGGCGAGCUGGACCCUUUCUGACGCUGAGGCGCGAAAGCCAGGGGAGCGAACGGG